rnacentral:rRNA from 1 species
CCUACGGGUGGCAGCAGUGAGGAAUAUUGGUCAAUGGGCGGUAGCCUGAACCAGCCAAGUAGCGUGAAGGAUGAAGGCCCUACGGGUCGUAAACCUCUUUUGUACGGGAAUAAAACGCACCACGUAUGGUGCUCUGCAGGUACCGUUUGAAUAAGGACCGGCUAAUUCCGUGCCAGCAGCCGCGGUAAUACGGAGGAGCCGAGCGUUAUCCGGAUUUAUUGGGGUUAAAGGGUGCGUAGGCGGGUCGUUAAGUCAGUUGUGAAAGUUUGCGGCUGAACCGGAAAAUCGCAGUUGAAACUGGAAGCCUUGAGUACAGAACAGGCAGGCGGAAUUCGUGGUGUAGCGGUGAAAUGCAUAGAUAUCACGAGGAACCCCGAUUGCGAAGGCAGCCUGCUGGAGUGUGACUGACGCUGAGGCUCGAAGGUGUGGGUAUCAAACAGGAUUAGAUACCCGAGUAGUC